rnacentral:lncRNA from 13 species
GUUUAUUUAUUUUUAAACAUCUCUUGUUUGUUAUAAAUGUUCUGAGAAUUAAUUAUCCCUCUGGGCACAGUGUGGAGGUCUCUAGAACAUCCACGUCUUUGCAGGAAGAUCAGAGUCAGGAUGUUCUUUCUUCUAAUGUGGCUGAAUUUCAUAUUCUAAUACUCAUUCAAGUAUUUGUAUUGGAAAAAACUUGAAGGCAAGGCAAUCUGUAGUAAUAGAGAGUACAAGACUGGUGGUUGUGUAAACAUGAUGUUUCUUACCUUGUUUUCUGUUGAUUUUUGUAGGUGACAAGAUGGUCUUUAAGGCCCCUUCCAAGCCAAGCCAUUCUGUGCUUCUGUUAUGGCAGAUGGCGUCAUUUCACCUCCACGAGUGACACCGUGGCACUGGCUCGGCUGCGUGAGGCUGGGAUGAGUGCAGGAUGUGUGGUGCAGCUUUCCUUGUCUCUGCCUUGUGCAGCAGUGGGUGAGUUCCUUCAAGAGGCUCUUCUGAAGCUUGGUUUGAUUUGGAGAGAGAAAAGGGGUCAAGAUAACAAAAAACUAGCAGAGGAAGAGCCAGGCCAUGAGGAGGGCUCUGUGUUACUUGGGCUGAAGCUGCACCUCAGGAGCCAUGAAUCCCCACAGAUCACUCACAAAUGGCCAAGGUCUCUGAAAGCAGAUGGACACCAUGCAGAUAGCACUUCUCCCAUCUGUGCAGUCCAGUGUCAAGCCAGCCUUUUGGAAAAUGAUGCAACUUGGGUGCUUACCUGUACAUUAUAA